AUCACUUCACUUUGGAUUCCAACUCUUCAAUCCUGAUGCUGCAAGAUACUGAACUCCUAAGCCGUGUGGAUUUGGAAAGUUUUGCUGGUGAAUUAGGUAAUAUUUUAGGUACCAAGCAACGACUAGGUACUUAC